UGUGUUUCUGUGUCUGUGUGUCUGUGUUUAUUUUUUUCCAGGACUUGUUUUGGUGGCUGUGUGGCUUUCAGUUUCAGUUUCUCAUUUGCCUCAAGACAGACAGUGGGAGGAGCCAGCUAGGGCUGAGUUACGCCCCUGGACUGGAGUGCAAAAGGAGGAGAUGUGAUGACUCCCAAGGGGGUCGUGGAGGAGGAUUCCUCAGAUGAAGACCCAGAGCAGGGGGAGCAGGUCGAAACUCCGGUCAACUCAGCCGAGCCAGAGCUGACAGGCCUGCAGGCCCCUCUGCCUCCUUUCCUCCCUCCUCCUGAUGAAGACUCCGAGGCCGCUGAAGUCAUGGUGCCUGCCCCAGAUCCCCGACAGCGACGUUUGGCCAGAGUACAAGCUCAGAGGGAGGAACGCCGUAGGUUGGAGAGGCUGGCCGGAAGGAACAGGUGACUCUGACCUGACUGCCCCUCCCUGACAAGGCCAGCUGCAGUGAUGGGCGGGACACUCAGCACACUGCCUAUUUAGAGCAGCCUGAAAUCUGGUUCUGCGCUGGAAACAACAUCCAUGGUGACCAGCCCUACUGUGAGCAACCUUGACCUAGAAAUCUGGACCUGUUUGUUGUUUUCUGACCGUGAUUCGUGUUUACCCCUGAUCCUGUGAAAUUCAUGCUGUUGACUUCUGACAACAUUUUUGACUA